rnacentral:rRNA from 1 species
GGAGUCUGGUCCGUGUCUCAGUACCAGUGUGGGGGACCUUCCUCUCAGAACCCCUACUGAUCGUAGGCCAGGUGGGCCGUUACCCCGCCUGCUGCCUAAUCAGACGCAUCCCCAUCCCGCAGCGAUAAAUCUUUACUCCUCGUCAGAUGCCAUCAAAGGAGAACAUAGGGUAUUAAUCCGACUUUCGCCGGGCUAUCCCCUACUGCGGGGAAGGUUGGAUACGCGUUACUCACCCGUGCGCCGGUCGCCAUCAGUCUUAGCAAGCUAAGACCAUGCUGCCCCUCGACUUGCAUGUGUUAAGCCUGUAGCUAGCGUUCAUC